GAGAGAGAGAGAGAGAGAGAGAGAGAGAGAGAGAGAGAGACAGAGACAGAGAGAAAGAGAGAGAGAGAGGGCAAGAGCGAGAGACAGAGAGAGAGAGAGAGAGAGAGAGAGAGAGAGAGAGAGAGAGAGAGAGAGAGAGAGAAAGAGAAAGAAAACGAGCGAGGGAGAGAGCGAGAGCGAGAGAGAGAGAGAGAGAGCGUCACACACACAUCUCUGCCGGAAGUGAUGUCACGGCAUGGGCGCCCGCCCACCGGAGGAGCGACUGGAGUUGAUCGGCUGGGCGCUCAGAACCUGGACAACUACCCUCAAUUGGUAACAUAUUUUGGUGAGCCAGCCAGAAGGAUCAAGUCUGUGAUACCUGAAGCCUCAGACCUGGAACCUGAAGUUUCCUUCAGCCACUACACCUGUGAACCUGUGGAAGACCUGAAGUGCCUGUUUAGAAGACAGCCAAAAGAUAAGUAAAUGCCUACCAACUUUCCUUGGUGUUUUUGUUGCAUAGUUAUUGUAGGUUGGAUAAUAAUAGCCAUAUUUUUAUAUAUUUGGCUGGAUAAUAAUAGCCAUAUUUUUAUAUAUUUUUGCAGUUUUUCUUUUUUCAAAUGUUUGGAAUCACUCCCUUUGUAGCAAUUAAGCAGAAUGUUUUAAUUUCUCCCUAUAACAAACAUUCCUGAUAGCAUAGGUAUCCACCCCCUGAAGUUCCCAUUAGAUCUUUUAACCAAAUUCAUUUCCUCUCACCUAGAGACCAUUGAGCUUCAUAUGAUCAUGCAACAACAUUGCCAGCCAGUUCCAAAUGAAGAUAGCACCCCCAGCGAUCAAUAAACUACCCUGCCUCCACUGGAUAGAGCAGGGAAAAAUUUCCAUGAUCAGCAAUAGGCUGGAGUGCAAUGGUGUGAUUUCAGCUUACUGAAACCUCCACCUCCUAGGUUCAAGAGAUUCUCCUGCCUCAGCUUCCCGAGUAGCUGGAAUUACAGCUUCAGAUCCAAAUGGUAUGCUAGCAUUCUCUUCCUAGCAGUCCACUGUCAAGACUUCACUGUUAGAAGAAGAAUCACACCAGAAUUAAGGUCAAAUGGAUUAUCUUAUUCUUAAUUGCUGAAAAUCACACCUCAUUGAAAUUUGCUUCAUAACUGAACCAUGAAUUUUUCAUCAAACAUACUUUUGUGUUUCUCCUCCUGGCAUUCUUUAUGAGGAACUUCUUUUUGGAGCUCACUGACUUCCUGUUCUAAUUUGGUCCAGUUAUUUUCUAGAAUUGCUACAUGACUGUCAUCCUGGGACAUCCUUCUGUUGGAAUCUGGGAGAGCUUACAACUUUUCAUAUCCUCUCUUCUUCUUUGUGUUUUUCACCCUGAAGUGUACAAAGUCAAAUGAAUUUCCUAGAAAAACUAGUGAGUUAAUAUUUUGAGUCCUUGUGAUAUGGGAGGGGGGCAGGGAAGUGCUGGGUAGAGAAGGGUGGGGUCCCUGGUGAGGGCUCCACUCUCAGGCCUGUGCUCAUGGACCUAAAUGAGGACAGGCAUUUCUGUUUUCAUGCCCCAAAUGUUGCCUUUUGGCCCACCAUGCGCCCCAUCCUGUACCCAUAAAAACCCAAGACUUGAGAAGGCACAGACACAAGUGGCGGGACGUCAAGAGAGCUGAAGAACACAGCAACAGACACCAGCAGACAACAUCAGGCCAUCGAUGGCUGCAUGAUGUGGAAUUUGGCUGGGGGCAGUUGGAGGAGAGUCUGGCUAUUGGGCGACCUGACUCCAGGGGAAGACUACCUUCCCACUCCAUCCCCCUUGGGGCUCCUCAUGCAUCUCACGAGAGCUACCUCCACCACUCAAUAAAACCUUGCACGCAUCCUCCAAGCCCACGUGUGAUCCGACUUCUUGGGUACACUAGGGCAAGAACCCGGGAUACAGAAAGCCCUCUGUCCGUGUGAUAAGGCACAGGGUCUAGUGGAGCUGAUUAACACAAGCCACCUGCAGAAGGCAAAGCUGAAAGAGCACACCACAACACAUGCCCACUGGGGCUUCGGGAGCUGCAAACACUCAACCCUAGACACUGUCGUGGGGUCAGAGCCCCAAAACACUCCCCACGACCUGCUCAUCUGCAUGCUCCCCUCAGGAGUUUGAGCAGCAGGUCACCGAAGAAGCGAGCCACACCCGUUGCAUGCCGUGUGAGGGGGAUAAGGGAACUUCUCCCAUUUCAUCUGAAUAUCUGAAAGUAUCUGUAGUUGGGACUCACGUUUUAUUUAUAAUUUGUCUCGAUAUAGAAGUAAAGGUAUAAUUUCCUAUAGAAAUUUGAAACAUUGUUCCCUUGUCACAUCUUGCUGAUAAAAAACCUUAUGUCAGAUGAUUUUUGGUCUGAUAAUAUAGAAAUUUUGAUUAACUUACUAAAUAAUUAUAUUUCAAUAUGAUUCAUUUGGUAAUAAUUUUAUUUUAUUUUUAUUCUGUCAUGUCUAUUUAAGUUGUAUAAUACUUUCAGAUAUAGAAUUUGACAAAGUUCC
rnacentral:lncRNA from 1 species